AACUUUCGGCAACGGAUCACUUGGCUCUCGCAUCGAUGAAGAACGCAGCGAAAUGCGAUAAGUAAUGGGAAUUGCAGAAUUCAGUGAAUCAUCGAAUCUUUGAACGCACCUUGCGCUCCUUGGUAUUCCGAGGAGCAUGCCUGUUUGAGUGUCAUGAAUCUCUCAACCUUUUCAGUUUUUAUUAACUGGUCUGGCUUGGAUUGUGGGAGUUGCUGGCUUUAUCAAAAGUUUGCUCUCCUUAAAUGUAUUAGCAAUAUCUUUGCUGACCAUCUCUGGUGUGAUAAUUAUCUACGCUAUUGGGAAAUCAGCAUAUGCUUCUAAUAGUCCGUUUGGACAAUUUUUGACAAUUUGACCUCAAAUCAGGUAGGAUUACCCGCUGAACUUAAGCAUAUCAAUAAGCGGAGGCU
rnacentral:misc_RNA from 1 species